CCUACGGGUGGCAGCAGUGGGGGAUAUUGCACAAUGGGGGAAACCCUGAUGCAGCGACGCCGCGUGUGGGAAGACGGUCCUCUGGAUUGUAAACCACUGUCCCCAGGGACGAAAAUGACGGUACCUGGGGAGGAAGCUCCGGCUAACUACGUGCCAGUAGCCUCGGUAAUACGUAGGGAGCGAGCGUUUUCCGGAAUUACUGGGUGUAAAGGGAGCGUAGGCGGGGAUGGAAGGUGGGUGUCAAAACUACCGGCUCAACUGGUAGUCGCACUCAAAACUGCAGCUCUUGAGUGAAGUAGAGGCAGGCGGAAUUCCUGGUGUAGCGGUGAAAUGCGUAGAUAUUAGGAGGAACACCAGUGGCGAAGGCGGCCUGCUGGGCUUUUACUGACGCUGAGGCUCGAAAGUGUGGGGAGCAAACAGGAUUAGAUACCCCAGUAGUC
rnacentral:rRNA from 1 species